rnacentral:misc_RNA from 1 species
ACCUCCCACCCUUGUCUCUCUACACCUGUUGCUUUGGCGGGCCCACUGGGGCUCCCUGGUCGCCGGGGGACGCCUGUCCCCGGGCCCGCGCCCGCCGAAGCGCUUCGUGAACCCUGAUGAAGAAGGGCUGUCUGAGUACUAUGAAAAUUGUCAAAACUUUCAACAAUGGAUCUCUUGGUUCCGGCAUCGAUGAAGAACGCAGCGAAAUGCGAUAAGUAAUGUGAAUUGCAGAAUUCCGUGAAUCAUCGAAUCUUUGAACGCACAUUGCGCCCCCUGGCAUUCCGGGGGGCAUGCCUGUCCGAGCGUCAUUUCUGCCCUCAAGCACGGCUUGUGUGUUGGGGUGUGGUCCCCCCGGGGACCUGCCCGAAAGGCAGCGGCGACGUCCGUCUGGUCCUCGAGCGUAUGGGGCUCUGUCACUCGCUCGGGAGGGACCUGCGGGGGUUGGUCACCACCACAUUUUCUAUUAUGGUUGACCUCGGAUCAGGUAGGAGUUACCCGCUGAACUUAAGCAUAUCAAUAAGCGGAGGAAAAGAAACCAACCGGGAUUGCCUCAGUAACGGCGAGUGAAGCGGCAAGAGCUCAAAUUUGAAAUCUGGCCCUUUGAGGGUCCGAGUUGUAAUUUGCAGAGGAUGCUUCGGGUGCGGUCCCCAUCUAAGUGCCCUGGAACGGGCCGUCAUAGAGGGUGAGAAUCCCGUCUGGGAUGGGCGGCCGUGCCCGUGUGAAGCUCCUUCGACGAGUCGAGUUGUUUGGGAAUGCAGCUCUAAGUGGGUGGUAAAUUUCAUCUAAAGCUAAAUACUGGCCGGAGACCGAUAGCGCACAAGUAGAGUGAUCGAAAGAUGAAAAGCACUUUGAAAAGAGAGUUAAACAGCACGUGAAAUUGUUGAAAGGGAAGCGUUGUCCACCAGACUCGCCCGGGGGGGUUCAGCCGGCACGUGUGCCGGUGUACUCCUCUCCGGGCGGGCCAGCAUCGGUUUGGGCGGCUGGUGAAAGGCCCCGGGAAUGUAGCACCCUUCGGGGUGCCUUAUAGCCCGGGGUGCCAUACAGCCAGCCUGGACCGAGGCCCGCGCUUCGGCGAGGAUGCUGGCGUAAUGGUGGUCAACGGCCCGUCUUGAAACACGGACCAAGGAGUCUAACAUCUAUGCGAGUGUUCGGGUGUCAAACCCGUCCGCGCAGUGAAAGCGAACGGAGGUGGGAGCCUUUCGGGGCGCACCAUCGACCGAUCCUGAAGUCUUCGGAUGGAUUUGAGUAAGAGCAUAGCUGUUGGGACCCGAAAGAUGGUGAACUAUGCCUGAAUAGGGCGAAGCCAGAGGAAACUCUGGUGGAGGCUCGCAGCGGUUCUGAC